GGCAGCAUAGUGUCCAGUGCCUCCACAUGUGAAGCAUUUGACAGAUUUUCUAAAAUCUUUAGUGAAAGGUUUGACAACCUUGUUCCUCUCAUUAGACCUAUCAGUUGAUGGUCUAAAAUGACUCUCACUACCAAAGCUGCCCUCUCUAGCAAACUUACCCUUAUCCUUAAGAAUUCUCCUAAAUUUUUUGACAAACAAGGCCAUCUCAUCCUCAAAAACAGAGGAUUUUUCACUACCUUUCGGAGAGGCAACAUGCACUCCUUGAAG
rnacentral:lncRNA from 1 species